rnacentral:rRNA from 1 species
AUUAGUGGCGAACGGGUGAGUAACACGUGAGUAACCUGCCCUUAACUCUGGGAUAAGCCUGGGAAACUGGGUCUAAUACCGGAUAGGAGCGUCCACCGCAUGGUGGGUGUUGGAAAGAUUAUCGGUUUUGGAUGGACUCGCGGCCUAUCAGCUUGUUGGUGAGGUAAUGGCUCACCAAGGCGACGACGGGUAGCCGGCCUGAGAGGGUGGACGGCCACAUUGGGACUGAGAUACGGCCCAG